CUUCUUAUUUUCCCUCACUUAGUUGUUUUCUCUCCUCCUAACUUCCCUUCUUUUCUUUUUCUCACCUUCUAUUACUCCUCUCUCCAACUAAGGACAACCACCAUGGCCACCACUACCUAACAACCCCAGUAAGGGGCCUAAAGAUCCUAAACAGCCCACCUCUUUCCCCGUUUUGUGAUUCGGAUCUCAAAACCAAAUUGAAGCCUGACUAAACACCUCUAUCAAACCCAAAACAAACUUGAAAGGAAUGUUACCUCCUGCGGCUCAAUGGAGUUUAGAUGUUAGGGGAAGACGAUGAUGUUUUUCGGACGGGAAAGCCUCUGCUACUGCCGUUGUUGUGGUAAAUGAGACAUGGCCAGGGCGGCACACGAGCCUGGUGCUUCAGGUACAAUAGGGAACGAUUGGGACGUACAUGCGUAUAAGCUUGGGCAAGAGCUAGAGCGACGAGCGUGCCCUCCAAAUGCGAGAUCUGACCGUCCGAGAAGAUGGGGAGUCUUCAGUGUACGAGCUUGGGACUUUCAAAAUGUUGUGGGCUGUUAGAUCUUGGAACUAGAUCCAACGACCAAAAAUCGGCUGCGCAUGGAUCCUUAGGGCUUAGAAAACCCUAAACUUUGUACCAUUUAUUCUGAACCAUUAGAUAAAACCAAAAUCUGACGUGUUACAUUGUGCGGCAAUGCCAGUAGAUUGAUCUUAGGGUUAGACUUAAUUUUGCCCAUCUCGACCGUUGGAUACUUCUCCUAUUUGAGGGCUAGCGUUCGGUGGUGUUGUAGGCUUGAUACAGAUAGGGUUUCCCAACCCUAAUCUUCCGGGCUGUUAUUCGGGCCAUUGGCUGCUAAUUGGCCUGUUUAGUAAUUACUUUGGGCCUAUAAAUUAAACAUUUAAUUAGUGUUCUA